CACGAUGCUCGCUCGCUGCCUUUCAAAUUGCCUGCAAUAAGGCAGCGAGCCUGGAGGGGGAGGUUUAUGAGCCUUGAAGCCCUGUGAGAGGUGAGAGAGAACACCAUAAAAUCCAGAAUUGCUAGAAAGCCACAGACUCCUCCUCUGAAGCGCCAAAAAUAGAAAGUGGGAAGUCAAAUUAAUAGCGCCGGGAGUGACAGGGGAAACGGGGCCAUGUGUGCGGCUCUGCAGAGGUAGACAAGAACAUCCACUUGGAACGCCUCAUGAGCCAGGUGCUGCACUGAGGAAGAGCACUCAUGAUUUCUCUUCAUCCCCGGCACAACCUGAGGAGACCUGACGCACACUUUCAUAGAAACGAAUUCAGCAGAACCUCGCAACAGCCCAGGAAGGUUGAUCCCAAGGCCGUCACCUGAGCUCACAAUCUGAAAUAGGAAAGCACAUAAGAGCAUGGGCCUUUAAUCCCAGCACUCAGGAGGCAGAGGCAGGUGGAUUGAUUUGAAUAUGAGGCCAGCCUGGUCUACAGAAUGAGUUCCAGGCUAGCCAGGGCCACAUAGUGAGACCUUAUCUUGGGGGUGAGGGGAGAAAGUACACAAGGAAUCAACCCCCUAUGAGUUGGGGUACACUUAUAACAACACACAGCAAGAUGAAACCCAUGACAAUUCAGAGUCACCAGCUGCAACAAAGGCCGGGCACGGUGACCCCCCCUGUGGUCCCAGCACUCACUUCAAGGUCAUCCCGCUACAGAACAAGUGUGAGUCAGGCCUGGGCCACCUGCCUCCCACUAAAGAAGAGGUGUGGUGGGUCAAAGGAGCUAUUCCCAAACCGUGUGAAGUGUAAGCAGGGAGAGCAGAGAGAGGAUGAGGAGGGAGAGGGAAGCGCUGUUCACAAGAUUCCACGACUAUUUCUAGCACCAACUUGACCAGGCACUAAUCUUGACUCUUGGAACAAAUGAGAACAGAGAAGAGGCUGUGGGUGAAGAUCUUCCAGAACUGAUCUGGGACAAGAAUUCUCAAUGUCAGGAAAUAAAUCCCAAGAUAGACCAAAUCCUCUUUGGACACACCAGAUACACCUAAUUAAGGUGGGGGGUGGCUUCUAAAAAUCAGGAAGAAAACUCGGGUUUCCCACAAGCAGUGAUGUCCGGACAGAUGGCAGACUUCUCAGUAACUAUAGAGAUCAGAAGACAAGUCCUCACGGCCGCUGCGGUGCUGGGGUGGUGCCAGAGCUUGGAACAUGCUAGGACACGCUCUACCACUGGACUAUACCCCUAGCCCUUCACCGCUCUUACAGGGAGGUAUCUGGAAACUCGGACCACCCCAAGCUAAGGAGACAUUUGAGAUUGAGUGUAACGUGAACAAAUCCCCAGCCAAACCCUAGUUAGACAAUUGUAGAAACAUGGAUCUAGAAUGUGGUACUGAAAUAAGGAAUUAUUUUUAGUGCUAUAAUAUUGUAGUGAAAUAAAUGUCCUUUGAAAAAAAAUCUAUUAUUUAAGGCCAUCCAGCUCCUCAGCAUCUUCAUCCUGCUGGCAGGCUUUCCCUGUCUGUGUACCGUCUCUCUGCUUUCUCUUUAAACUCAGCCUCUGCAACCAGCUUCAACUUACACAGCCCUUGGCCUUCCCGUGUUCCACUGCUACGGAGGCCAUGGCAGCUCCCAACAGCACCUGCUGCCUGCCUGAUUCCCUGACAGGGAGCAGUCUUCACAGUGACUUUCUGUGGUUGGCAGGAGGCCUUUGCUCAGGUCCUGUUCUGUUCCUCUUCCCGGCUGAGUGUAGGGAGCUGGGCCCUGUGGUCCACGUCACUGUCUAACUGCCUUUGAUUGCUUAGCGUUUGUCUAGAGGGUGAGCAUGACUGAAUCAGAGUGUGGAAGGCAGUUAGGUCCUUGUCUAGAGAAACUGUGAUCAUUCCUACCUUCCGCCUCCGUCUGUCCCUGUCCAGGACUGCUCCUGUCCUAGAUGCCGACUGGAGAACCAGUAGGGCCAGCGCAGGCAGAGCUGAAAGCAUUUCUCCUCCAUUUCUUCUGAACAUAAUUUACCGGUAGGGUGGAACACUGGGUGACCUGAUCCUUUGACUUUGCAAUUCUUUCCGUUCAUAGGUGUCAAUCCAGAGCACAGAGAGUGUCAAGGAGAAACACUGAAUUCACCGUUGUCUUCAACUCACCAUGUGGACACUGCACCCUUGAAUUUGUCAUUUCUCUUAGCCAGGGUGAGGUUCCUGCCAGGGCACCGCUGUGUGCAAACUCUUCCUGUAUGACAGACAGGGAUUUCCUGGCAUCUUCAGCACUGAUGGAUGGGACAGCACAGGCAGCCAUGGUCCCUCCCCCCCAUCACUCUGCUGCUCCAAGGCCAGUCGUUAAUAAGGCAAAGGAGCCUGUGAUGGUCCUGCAGCUGCUGCGGACCUCUUCUCAGCACAGUGAGACACUGUACACAGUGCACUGCCCGGUGCCCUGGAAGGUUCCAGUAAAGUCGAGAAAAUGUACAGAGAAACUAAUCUUGUACAUGAUGUUUUUCAUGGAGGCUUAAGGAUGCUGGCAAGGAUGCAGGGAGGCAAACUCCCCACCUCCCUACAUGGGACUGUAAACCUUGGGGACUCUUUGUUCCCUCAUAGUAACGCAUCUCAUUUCUAAAUUGGAGCUAAUAGGAUUUUGUGCCCAGGAUUAUUAUAUUGUUGAUAAUUUUCUGAAACACACGGUAACAACUAGUAAGCAAGAGAAACAGCAGGUUGCACCACAUGGAUUCUGGUAGCAACGUGUGCUGGGCGCACCUUCUCCAGUGGGCCUGGGAAGGCUUUGUUCUUUAGCUUCCCUGUGGUUAAAUAGAGCUGCUGGUGCAGGGCCGCUUGCCUUGAUCAGUGACUUCUGCUCGGCACCAGAAGAAAAGACAGACAUGUUUUUAUAAUAUAAGCAUACUUUCUUUGUACACCGUGUUCAUUCUUGAAUAAAGUGAGCUCACUGUUGGCUUGUAGAUGUUAAAAAGAAAGUAUUGAUUCCGAUUCAAUAAAUGUUUUCUUUU